GGUUAAUCCCACUCCCCAAAAAAAAAAAAAAAGAAAAGGAAAAGUAAAAAGAAAAAGAAAAACCCAUCAAGAAUUCUACUGUAAUUUCUACCAAUAAAUCAUCCACAAGGGAGAGACUCUACAAAGUCUUCGUUCCCUUUUUCCUCUUCUUCUUAUUCUUGCCUCCAAAAUAUAUACCGUUCCCACUUCAUUUAGAUAAUCUCAUCAUAAUCUUUUAGGCCUGGUAUAUAUCCCUCUUGAAUAAAGAUGGAAGAGGGUAAAGCACCCGAGAGUCAUUUGACAUCAGCGGCAGCUUUCGUGGAAGGUGGAAUUCAGGAUGCCUGUGAUGAUGCUUGCAGCAUAUGCCUUGAAGAAUUUGUUGAAAGUGAUCCUUCGACUGUGACAAAUUGCAAGCAUGAAUUUCAUCUUCAAUGUGUUCUUGAAUGGUGUCAGAGAAGCUCCAAGUGCCCAAUGUGUUGGCAGCCUAUCAGUCUGAAGGACCCUGGCAGCCAGGAACUCCUUGAUGCUGUAGAGCAUGAAAGAAAUAUCCGGAUGAAUCCACCUAGGAACACCACUAUAUUUCAUCAUCCAACUUUGGGGGAUUUUGAGUUGCAGCAUUUACCAGUUAGUGCAACUGAAUCCGAGCUUGAAGAACGUAUUAUUCAGCAUUUAGCUGCUGCUGCUGCCAUGGGAAGGGCUCGUCAUAUUGCUAGGAGGGAAGGCCAGAGGAGUAGGUCAUCAGCUCAAGGCCGUCCUCACUUUCUUGUGUUCUCUACUAAUCCUAAUGCCCCUCCUACGACGGCUGCUGCUUCGCCUCCACCUCUACAGGGUGUUGGGGGGAAUGAACCUGCAGCUAUGAUAGCUGGUUCAGCAUCUCCAUUGCUCGCCAUAGGAGGAGAUUCUACGCAAUUAAUUCCACCUACUUCUGGCCAAGCGGAUCAAGUGCCUGCUCCAGCAUCAGGAUCAAGCCCUGUUGCUAAUCAGCAUGUGCCAUUGACAAAUAGGAGGUCUCCUAAUCAAUCUUCCCCUAGCAGUCAGGACAGAGCUGGGCCAUCAGAUUUCCAGUCUUUCUCUGAAUCGUUAAAAUCACGGUUUAGUGCAAUGUCAAUGAGGUACAAAGAGUCUAUCACCAAGAGCACAAGAGGUUGGAAGGAGAGAUUUUUCUCGAGAAACAGUACGACACAGGACCUUAGUUCUGAAGGUAGAAGAGAAAGUGAUCCAGGUAUUGCUACUGUGACGGACCUGAUGGGUCAUCUAGAAACCAGAGAUAGUAGAAGAAAUACUAUAGCUUCUGUAUCAAAUAGUGAAGAGGAUAGCCCAACUUCUGGUCUGGCUGACCAGCAGCAACAUGUGGAUAUAUCAGCUAACCAGUCUUCAUCUGAGGAUGGUAGUCAAGCUCCAUGUGCUGCAAGUUCUGCUUCAAAUUAAAUGUUGAUUGAGAAGAAUAUCUACCAUUGCACUUCAUCUAUGUGGGCAAGCAUAAAUGUGUGAAGCCUUAAUGGAGGCUGGUUCAGUUCUUCAAGCCUUUGAGGGGUUUAUCUUUUAAUCCAAUCAGACCUCAAGGGAGUGUCAGGUGUAGAAGCAUUUUCAUGCAUCAAUGGAGGCCUGGUGAUGCUUAGCCGUCAUGACAAAGUAUCUAGUACUGGUCAAAAGUGCAUUGAUUGAUUCUGAUACAAUGAAAUAAGUAAAGGGCAGAGCUCUUGAACCUUGUAAUUAGAAUAUAUGACAGUAGCUGUAAAUUGAUUGACGUCUAAGUCAAAUGAAGAUACGGUUGGUAUCUUAUUAUGCUUGGUGAACUGAUGUAAAAGAUUUUGUUAUGAAUUAUACAAGCUUUAGAAAGCCUUGCUUAUUGCUGUCUUUGGUCGUUAAA